AUAUAAAUAGUAUAAAAUAAUUACAUUUAAUUUCCAAUUAAAAAAUUUAUUAAAAAAAUAAUUUAUAUG
rnacentral:tRNA from 1 species